GUUUGGCCUAGUGGUUAAAGCGCCCGCCUCGGAUGAGGGAGGUCGCGGGUUCAAACCAAGGCUGAGUCA